rnacentral:rRNA from 1 species
UGGGGGAUAUUGCACAAUGGGCGAAAGCCUGAUGCAGCGACGCCGCGUGGGGGAUGAAGGCUUUCGGGUUGUAAACCUCUUUCGCUAUCGAACAAGGCCCGCUUAGGGUGGGUUGAGGGUAGGUGGAGAAGAAGCGCCGGCUAACUACGUGCCAGCAGCCGCGGUAAUACGUAGGGCGCGAGCGUUGUCCGGAAUUAUUGGGCGUAAAGGGCUUGUAGGCGGCUUGUUGCGCCUGCUGUGAAAACGCGGGGCUUAACUUCGCGCGUGCAGUGGGUACGGGCAGGCUUGAGUGUGGUAGGCGUGACUGGAAUUCCAGGUGUAGCGGUGGAAUGCGCAGAUAUCUGGAGGAACACCGAUGGCGAAGGCAGGUCACUGGGCCAUUACUGACGCUGAGGAGCGAAAGCAUGGGUAGCGAACAGG